UAGAGUGUCAAAAUCAAUACCAGAGCUAGGAAAAGAAAAUGUUUUUAAUAAACUAAUGUCUUUUGGUGGAAAUUAAACUUUAGUAAUAACGAUUCCUUUUCUGUAGGUAGCGUCGACUGUCUAAAUGUAGAAAAAGAACUAUUCUAUUGACUUUAAAAGUCUAAUACCUUGAUAAAGACUUCCAAAGAGGGGAAACACCUGUACAGUGGUUAAGCCUGCCCAAAUUCCAACAGUAUGUAAUGUGGUCAGUGGCGGAUAGCACUUCAUAGAUGAUUUGGAAAUGCAGUAAACGCCAAAAUUUUAAGUGCGAAACUGGGUCUUCGUAUGUUAAUAACGGAGCAACUGUUUUCGCGAGAAAGACUUAAAAUCCGAUGUGUCGCAAGCAUG
rnacentral:misc_RNA from 1 species